ACCAUGAUAUGCAUAACCUUUAAUGUUUACAUUUCCACAACCGCAAUAACUGGGAUCGUCGUCUUACUUGUUUUCUAGGUUUUGGAUUUCCACGUUUUCCUUCGGACCACCAACUAUACACUCAUUUCGGAGGUGAUUUAUGGAGUUCUUUAUAGGUAUAUCUUGGGGAGAAGUAAUUUUCCCAAAGAAACGUUUGUGCAGAUCUGAUCUGACGAGAUACGUGGAUUGUUUGUUUAGUGCGUUAAAAGUAUAUACUCUUCCUAGAUUUUAGCCGAUAAAUGACUUCGGUCUUCCUGUAUAACAACACCUUCCACACAGGGAAAAAUACCGUCGACAAUGUUUACCAAC